rnacentral:lncRNA from 1 species
AUCUGAUUGGAGCAAGUAAGAAAGGCUUCUUAGAAGAGGUGGAAUCUGCCAGGUGUGACGUUGCAUACCUGUAAUCCCAGUGGCUCAGGAGGCUGAGGCAGGAGGAUCGUAAGUUCAAAGCUGUUGUGGUGUGAACUGAUCAAUACAAUCAAUAAGUUAUAGGUAUAAGUUCUAGACUAUAGGAACAAGAUUUUGUUAAGUAAGAUAAUAAAAAUAAAAUAAUAGGUAAAUAUGUGUGUGUAGGCCAUAAGUUAACUGUAGUCUUCAGUAAGCAUUAAAUAAGAUACUAAUACUGGUUAUGUAAAGCAAUUACUGUGGUAAAACUACCAGAUCACUUGUAAUAGUUCCCUCCUUGUGGGAGUAGCAAGAAUGGAGUCACUAUGUCUACGAUCAAACAGUUGUGGCCAUAGGGACUCCAUCUCAUCUGUUCUAGACUUUACUUUAGUUUUUCUGUUACUGCUCCUGUGAAGAGACAUCUGCAGGACCCAUUUCUGAGAAAACAAAAUGAAAACGGUUUUCUGCUAAAAGCAAAAAAUAUGUAUUGUCUUCUGUACUUUGUACCCCACAAAAUGUACUCAACCCAGGAUAUGGUGGUCUUGGUGACCUAUAUGACUUUGAAGUAGAUUCUCACCCCUGCUGACCACCUGCUCGAUGGUUGUCUAGCACCUGCUCGGACCCAAGAUGCAGUUGACUGAGUUAUUCUGCUAACAGUUUUUUUUUUUAGCUUCUGUAACUUGCUUGCUUGCUAACAGAAAAAUUCCAUAGGAUGUGGUUUUCUUCCUUAAAUAGCGAAUUUUCCUCAAAGGCUUUUGCUGUUCUCCCAC